rnacentral:rRNA from 1 species
GACGAACGCUGGCGGCGUGCCUAAUACAUGCAAGUAGAACGCACAGUUUAUACUUUAGCUUGCUACACCAUAGACUGUGAGUUGCGAACGGGUGAGUAACGCGUAGGUAAACUGCCUGGUAGCGGGGGGUAACUAUUGUCAACGAUAGCUAAUACCGCAUAAUAUUUAUUAUUGCAUGAUAAUUUAUUGAAAGAUGCAAUUGCAUCACUACCAGAUGGACUUGCGUUGUAUUAGCUAGUAGGUGAGGUAACGGCUCACCUAGGCGAAGAUACAUAGCCGACCUGAGAGGGUGAGCGGCCACACUGGGACUGAGACACGGCCCAGACUCCUACGGGAGGCAGCCGUAGGGAAUCUUCGGCAAUGGACGAAAGUCUGACCGAGCAACGCCGCGUGAGUGAAGAAGGUUUUCGGAUCGUAAAGCUCUGUUGUAAGAGAAGAACGGGUGUGAGAGUGGAAAGUUCACACUGUGACGGUAUCUUACCAGAAAGGGACGGCUAACUACGUG